rnacentral:lncRNA from 10 species
CCUACCUCGGCCUCCCAGAGUGCUGGGAUUACAGGGGUGAACCACUGCGCUCGGCUUUGCCACGAUCAGCUUGGCUUUUUAAAACUUUAGUUUUGUUUUUAUUACUCCAUACCUCUUCAACUCUCAGUAAGUCACUAGUGGCCUGAAACAAAAUGUAAGUGCGCUAGGGAGCUUCCUCUGUGGGAUGAGCCAUUUUAUAACACAAAACCUUCUGCCACACGGAUCGCCUUUUCAUCAUUAAUUUGUCUGGUAAAUAUCACAUUAGUCCAGGCUUUACAAAAUCAGAUACUAGAUGUACUUCCCAUGAAAACAUGAACAAAUCUGCAUUUGGAAGAUCUGGGUGGCAGGACACAGAGGUGAGGGACCUUUCCGGAGGGUCCAAGUCCUCCCUCUGGAGGACAGUCACUAUCUAGAACUGUGUCUACAGGAACUGUUUUCAUGCAUCCAGAUGUGGACAUGAAGGACCAGCCCACGGUAAUGACUGGCUAAGUCAAUUCCAUACAUAUUUACUGAGCAUUCCCCAUGCCCUGGGCGCUGAGAGGGUCCCCCUAGGAAGCAGGUGCAUCCUGCCCUUGGUGAGAUUAGGCUUCUGUCGUACUCAGUCAGUGCAAUAUCGUCAACUCCCAAGACCCCUACCUAGCCAGGUAGAGGAGAGGAUUGGAGAGAAAUCAUUAAGUCACUUCAGCCCUUUUAAUUAGCUUUUUCCAGUCUCAAGUGCUACUGCAGGUAUGAGGGAAGUGAAGCCCUGAGCGCUGCUCCGGAGGAUUUGGCAUGCGAGUGAGUGGGAAAGAAAGAAAGCUCCUUCAAUGACUGCCGUGGAAAAAGUGCCCCGGAUUGGCGCAUCUGAAGCUGACGUGCGCACGGGUCACCUGGGAGUCCUGUCAAAAUGUAGGUUCUGAUUUGCUGGAUUGGGGUGUGGCCCAACAACCUGCAUUUCCGGUUUGCCCAGGUGAUGUUCAUGCCACUGAUCCUGAGCCACACUUUGAGAAGCCAGGUAAAGCCCCAUGAUCAGCACGGGAGGGGGCACAGGGAGCUGUGGUGAUCUGGGGACACUGCAGGCUGCUGGGGGCUGCCUUGGACCUUGAAGGAGAGACAGGUUGGAGGCAGUAGCAGUUGUGGAGGCCAGGAUGUCACAGGGCAGGAGUGGGGCUGGAAAGGGCAGAGGGGGGAGGCCCCCAGCCCCUGCCUAGGCUGCUUUUAUUCUGUAAAGAGGUUUUUACUCUAGACCUUCCAUUUUCCUGGAAGUGAAGGUCUGACAUGCAUUGAUCCAGAAGGUAAAAACCGAAGGAUGGGUGAACAGGCACACUCUUCCUCACUUCAUUUAACUGGAAUCAAAGCAACAGGGAAGUGGAGG